rnacentral:rRNA from 1 species
AUUGAACGCUGGCGGCAUGCUUUACACAUGCAAGUCGAACGGCAGCGCGGGGGCAACCCUGGCGGCGAGUGGCGAACGGGUGAGUAAUGUAUCGGAACGUAUCCUGUAAUGGGGGAUAACCAGUCGAAAGAUUGGGUAAUACCGCAUACGCACGAGAGUGGAAAGUAGGGGAUCGCAAGACCUUACGUUAUAGGAGCGGCCGAUAUCUGAUUAGCUAGUUGGUGGGGUAAAGGCCCACCAAGGCGAUGAUGGGUAGCCGGCCUGAGAGGGUGUACGGCCACACUGGGACUGAGAUACGGCCCAGACUCCUACGGGAGGCAGCAGCUAAGAAUAUUCCGCAAUGGACGAAAGUCUGACGGAGCGACGCCGCGUGGAUGAAGAAGGCCGAAAGGUUGUAAAGUUCUUUUGCUAGGGGAGAAUAAGUGAGGGAGGGAAUGCCCUCAUGAUGACAAGGACUAGCGAAUAAGCCCCGGCCAACUACGUG